rnacentral:lncRNA from 1 species
AGUUUUCCCCGUUGUUGAUUUCCUUGGUUGAAUAUGUUUUAUAACUGAGACUUAGUUGUCUCCAUCAAUUAUGAACGCUCCAACUAUCAUAAAUCUUUCUCAAGCAAUUAUGAUAAUUUACUAGACGCACUUUCUCAAGCUACAGUAGCUAGAUUCACAUUACGGUUCACUUAGAUUGCACCUGAGGUGUCAUUAUCUCUAAUCCAACCUCUAAACCCUCGGUUAUGACUCUCCUCUAUACUAUGGGAAUGAUGUUGUUUAUACAAUCACCCAAAUAUGCACUCUUUCUCAAGCAAAUACAUACUAAUAGGGGCGGAUAGUUGAGAGCCCUUUCAACAAACCACAAUCAAAAUAUAGAUGAACAAAUAGAG